rnacentral:rRNA from 1 species
GAUGAACGCUGGCGGCGUGCCUAAUACAUGCAAGUCGAGCGAACAGACGAGGAGCUUGCUCCUCUGACGUUAGCGGCGGACGGGUGAGUAACACGUGGAUAACCUACCUAUAAGACUGGGAUAACUUCGGGAAACCGGAGCUAAUACCGGAUAAUUUAUUGAACCGCAUGGUUCAAUAGUGAAAGACGGUUUUGCUGUCACUUAUAGAUGGAUCCGCGCCGCAUUAGCUAGUUGGUAAGGUAACGGCUUACCAAGGCGACGAUGCGUAGCCGACCUGAGAGGGUGAUCGGCCACACUGGAACUGAGCCACGGUCCAGACUCCUACGGGAGGCAGCAGUAGGGAAUCUUCCGCAAUGAGCGAAAGCCUGACGGAGCAACGCCGCGUGAGUGAUGAAGGUCUUCGGAUCGUAAACCUCUGUUAUUAGGGAAGAACAAAUGUGUAAGUAACUAUGCACGUCUUGACGGUACCUAAUCAGAAAGCCACGGCUAACUACGUG